rnacentral:misc_RNA from 1 species
GAUGAAGAACGUAGCGAAAUGCGAUACUUGGUGUGAAUUGCUGAAUCCCGUGAACCAUCAAGUUUUUGAACGCAAGUUGCGCCCGAAGCCAUUAGGCCGAGGGCACGCCUGCCUGGGUGUCACACAUUGUUGCCCCAAUGCCAAUCGCCUCACUUUGUAGGUAUUUGCUUGGGGUGAAUGUUGGCCUCCCGUGAGCUCUGUCUCACGGUUGGUUGAAAAUCGAGUGCAUGGUGUCGGGUGUACCAUGAUGGAUGGUGGUUGAGUGAUGCUCGAGGCCAAUCAUGGGUAACUCCACCAGAAUUGUGCUCGGUGACCCACAUCAAGUCAGGCGGGGCUACCCGCUGAGUUUAAGCAUAUCAAUAAGCGCAGGA